GACGAACCGUGCGAACGUUGUUCGGAAUCACUGGGCUUAAAGGGCGCGUAGGCGGGCUCCCAAGUCCGGGGUGAAAUCUUUCGGCUUAACCGGAAAAGUGCCUGGGAUACUGGGAGCCUCGAGGGAGGCAGGGGCGGAUGGAACUUCCGGUGGAGCGGUGAAAUGCGUUGAUAUCGGAAGGAACGCCGGUGGCGAAAGCGAUCCGCUGGACCUCUUCUGACGCUGAGGCGCGAAAGCCAGGGGAGCAAACGGG
rnacentral:rRNA from 1 species